CUCCGUCUCUGCGCUCUUCAGCAGCGGCUUGAUCUUGAAAAAGAGCUUCAUCCAUGGCCAAUUCUUGACACUCAUGAAGGACCGGAUGUUCCACUGGAUUAUCAGCAGGGAAUCUCUGCACAGGCCCACGGCAGGGGUGAGAGGCCGGGAAACCUUUUUUUGAGAUCUCGCACCUGCGUUCCAGUAGCUUCUUGUACUCCAUUCUGGAAAGCACACCCCGCGACUGCGCCUGGAUGCGUGUGAUGAUGCGGCUCAGCCUCUCAUCUCGCAUCUCUUCCAACAGCCC